GCGGGAAGCCACGCGGGACGGAGACAUGAGUGCGAUCCGCGUGCGCGCGAUCGGAUGGCCCAGAUCCGUUCCCGCACGCAUGGAUGGCCCAGAUCAAAAGCGCACACGGACAGCCUAAAUCUCACGCGUGCGGAUGGUCCAAGAUUUGAUCACGCACGGACGGCUCAGAUCGCAUCGCGAUGGACGGUCUAGAUUUAUUUUUAAUUUAAUCG
rnacentral:lncRNA from 1 species